UGUAAUUAAGGUCUUAAAUAUUCUAGUUUUCGUAAUUUUUCCUUUCUAAAAAGUAAAGUUUAUUUAAUUUAUAGUUAUUUUUACUAGAGAUUCAACAUAUUCUUUAUAAGAAAAUAAUAAAUUAAGAUCAAUUUUGGUUGUCGUGUAGUGGUGAGACUACUUUACCCUUAACCAAAGGUCUCAGAUUCAAGCCAUGGGUAUGGAGAAAUCCUGUUGGGAGCGCCGCCCCCAGA
rnacentral:lncRNA from 1 species